rnacentral:rRNA from 1 species
GACGAACGCUGGCGGCGUGCCUAAUACAUGCAAGUCGAACGGUUUAGUUCCAAGAGGCUUGCCUUUUGGAACUAGACAGUGGCGGACGGGUGAGUAACACGUAGGCAACCUACCUGUCAAACCGGGAUAACCUCGGGAAACCGAAGCUAAACCCGGAUAAGCUCCUUUUUCGCAUGAAGGGGGAGUGAAAAGGUGCGACCUGAUGACAGAUGGGCCUGCGGCGCAUUAGCUAGUAGGUAGGGUAACGGCCUACCUAGGCGAUGAUGCGUAGCCGACCUGAGAGGGAGUACGGCCACACUGGGACUGAGAUACGGCCAAGACGCCUACGGGAGGCAGCAGUAGGGAAUCUUCGGCAAUGGGCGAAAGCCUGACCGAGCAACGCCGCGUGAGUGAGGAAGGCCUUCGGGUUGUAAAACUCUGUUGUUUGGGAAGAAGGGAAAGGGUAGGACCCUUAGGUGACGGUACCAAACGAGAAAGCCCCGGCUAACUACGUG